CUUUUCCUCUCUCUUUCUUCGUCGUUUAUGUGUUUGUGUGUGUGUGUGUUGCUUUUUUUCCCUUCUUUGUAAGAGUUGUCGGAAAGAUUUGAUCAAAUGUGGACUCGGAUGACCAAUACUUUUGAAACUUUUACGAGGGAUGCUUGGAAAAGUUUCUUUUUUAUCGAAACAACAUAAAUCUUUUGAUUUAAUGUCCUCUAGUCAUUUUGAAAAUGGACUAAGUUAAAAUAUUGCAAAAACUUGGCAUGUGCUGAUACGAUUUUCUUUUUAACAAAUAACUAGGUUUUUACGACCAGUGGAAAUAAAUUAAUAACUUAUUCCUCAAAUUGUUUAACACAUGUACGUUUAUUUCUAUUUAAAUGUAAAAUGUGUAAAAAACCAACUGUCAGAAAUGUGGAAAAACUUGACGACCAAGCUACUUUCAGUUAGUAAACGUUCGUGUGUUCUCGAUAAAUAUAAUAAUCAUCAUGAUUUUCUUGAGAAUAAUCUUUCUCUGUUUCAUUCUUUUAUCAUAACAUUUAUUCAAUUUGUAUUUCUUUUUUUUUUUUUAAUGUGUGAAUGUCCUGUUAGGAAUCUUUACGAUUUAUAAUUAAGCAUUCAUAGUAUGAAUACUUGGAAAUGAAAAGCUUAAGCUAAUUAUUCUUAGCACGUUGUUAGUUAACGUCUUCGAACCAUUUCCUGCGAUUAUAGUGUUUAUAUAUCUAACAUUGAUGCGUCCAAAGGGUGGUUAAGUUACGUGGUUCAAUUCUAUGAAAGAACACACCUUUACUCAAGGAAACAUAUCUACUAUUUCAAAUAACUUUGACCUUUUUUUUUUAUACCAACUUCAAAUCAUGGAUUAAAUCCCCUACCCAGUCCAUGUUAUCCGACAAUUAUUCAUUUAUUAUAAUACGUUCGAAGAUUAACGUUUAUUUUGCACGAGUCUUCCGAGAAGUACACAUGAUUAAUUUUUCAUGCUAAUUAAUUACUCAUUUUGCAGCAGAGAUAUAUCCACUGGGUGUUCCAUAAAUCACAUUACUGAGAGUAGAAGAAGAAGAAAAAGAAGUGGUUUACAGGAUUACGUAAGAUGACUCGUUGAACAAAUUUAGAACACUCGUCAUCAGGUUUGGACCCAGGUGAUACAACAGAAGAGGACGUUGAUCGCGGGUGGAAAGAAGUCAUGGUUAAUAAAAAUUGUGCGUCUCAGUUACAUCAUAUUUAACCUUGGUCCAGGCAUAAACAACUUCUAGAAAGCAAGUUCAAACGCCUGUCAAACUGUGUUCGGACACAUUCUAUGGAACGUGUACCUGUUAGUGAAUUUCAAUACGAUAACGAAACUGAAGAUGGUUAAAAAAAAAAAACAAGUAGAAGAAGAAGAAGUUGAUAUUUAAAGUGAGAUAAAGAAGAUCAUAAGAUCACUUCCGCUUUGAUGAAAAUGAAACUAACAACGUGAUAGGAUGUGCAAUGACAAGAAUAAGAAGAAUGAUGGAAGGAAGGGAAAGGGAAAUAAAGGGAGCGGUUGGAUGAUUCGUGAAAGAUAAGAAUAAGAAAGAGAUAGAAUGAAAUAGUAGUGGUACUCUUACGUUGGGCCUUAUCGGAAACGACGCAGGUGUCCUCUGUUAAGAGAAUACUCAGCGAAAGGCUUCAAAGGGUUAAUGAUCUUCCUCUCUUUCCGUGUACUACACACAUAUACAACAAAAGUCAGAUGAAUGUAGAGACAGUAUGUUCGCGUGUUCACGCGCAAGAAUACAAACACGAGUAUAUAUAUAUGUGUCUUCACUUUUGCUUCUUCUUCUUCUUCUUAUUCUUUUUCUUUUUCUUAUUCUUAUUCUUCUGAUUCCUCUCUUAUCCUUGUCGACGUUCCAGGAUGACGAGCUUCUUGCUAAUCGUCGGUGUCGCUGGCCGCUCUCGAGGUCUCCUUGUAAGAUUCCAACGUGUGCGUCACGCGAUUUCUACGUCUCUUGGAGAGACAAACGAUUACUAUUACUACUACUACUGCUAUUACUACUAUUACUACUACUAUACUUAAUUCGCUAAAUAUUUAUCUAUACGUGUAUAAAUGAAAGGUGAUUUUAUACGAUAGCGAUUGAUUCGAAAGGAGGGUUGAGUGGGGGAGAAAGGAAGAGGUUGGCUUUUUGCGCAGAAAAUUUCCGUGAGAAUGGAUAAUUUAUACGAGAAUUUUUUAAUAUUUUAUAUAAUUAUGUUGAAUAGUGUUGAAUUCAUGAUAAAUAUUAUUAUAUUUCAUUAUGUUAUUCUUAAUGAAAUAAUAUAUGGGAUGAUUCAAUGAAUUCUUGA
rnacentral:lncRNA from 1 species